rnacentral:rRNA from 1 species
ACGGAAGGCAGCAGUGGGGAAUAUUGGGCAAUGGGGGCAACCCUGACCCAGCAACGCCGCGUGAAGGAAGAGGGCCUUCGGGUUGUAAACUUCUUUACCAGGGACGAAGAAAGUGACGGUACCUGGAGAAAAAGCUACGGCUAACUACGUGCCAGCAGCCGCGGUAAUACGUAGGUAGCAAGCGUUGUCCGGAUUUACUGGGUGUAAAGGGCGUGUAGGCGGAGAUACAAGUCAGGAGUGAAAUCCAUGGGCUUAACCCAUGAACUGCUUUUGAAACUGUAUCCCUUGAGUAUCGGAGAGGCAGGCGGAAGUCCUAGUGUAGCGGUGAAAUGCGUAGAUAUUAGGAGGAACACCAGUGGCGAAGGCGGCCUGCUGGACGACAACUGACGCUGAGGCGCGAAAGCGUGGGGAGCAAACAGGAUUAGAUACCCUGGUA